rnacentral:rRNA from 1 species
GUGCCAGCCGCCGCGGUAAUACGGAGGGUGCAAGCGUUACUCGGAAUCACUGGGCGUAAAGCGCGCGCAGGCGGCCUUUUAAGUUGGAUGUGAAAGCCUAUGGCUCAACCAUAGAACUGCAUCCAAAACUAUUAGGCUAGAGUGUGGGAGAGGAAGAUGGAAUUAGUUGUGUAGGGGUAAAAUCCGUAGAGAUAACUAGGAAUACCAAAAGCGAAGGCAAUCUUCUGGAACAUUACUGACGCUGAGGCGCGAAAGCGUGGGGAGCAAACAGGAUUAGAUACCCUGGUAGUCCACGCCCUAAACGAUGAAUGCUAGUCGUCGGGAAGCUCGUCUUUUCGGUGACGCACUUAACAGAUUAAGCAUUCCGCCUGGGGAGUACGGUCGCAAGAUUAAAACUCAAAGGAAUAGACGGGGACCCGCACAAGUGGUGGAGCAUGUGGUUUAAUUCGAAGAUACACGAAGAACCUUACCUGGCCUUGACAUCCCAAGAACUUUCCAGAGAUGGAUUGGUGCUAGCUUGCUAGAACUUGGUGACAGGUGCUGCACGGCUGUCGUCAGCUCGUGUCGUGAGAUGUUGGG